UUGGCUUUAAAGGAAUCUAGUU
rnacentral:miRNA from 1 species